rnacentral:rRNA from 1 species
AACGUAGGACACAAGCGUUAUCCGGAGUUACUGGGCGUAAAGGGCGCGUAGGCGGCGUGGUAAGUCACUUGUGAAAUCUCUGAGCUUAACUCAGAACGGCCAAGUGAUACUGCUGUGCUAGAGUGCAGAAGGGGCAAUCGGAAUUCUUGGUGUAGCGGUGAAAUGCGUAGAUAUCAAGAGGAACACCUGAGGUGAAGACGGGUUGCUGGGCUGACACUGACGCUGAUGCGCGAAAGCCAGGGGAGCAAACGGG